GGCGGGCCUCCCCGCAUUGAGGGGCGGCGAACCUGGUCAGGUCGGGAACGAAGCAGCCAUAGUCGAUUUCCUCAAGUGCCGGGUGUGUUGGGCUCGCCU
rnacentral:SRP_RNA from 1 species